ACAUAGGUUUGGUCCCAGCCUUCCUGUUAACUCUUAAUAAACUUACACAUGCAAGCAUCUACACCCCAGUGAGAAUGCCCUCUAGGUUAUUAAAACUAAGAGGAGCUGGCAUCAAGCACACACCCUGUAGCUCACGACGCCUUGCUUAACCACACCCCCACGGGAAACAGCAGUGACAAAAAUUAAGCCAUAAACGAAAGUUUGACUAAGUUAUAUUAAUUAGGGUUGGUAAAUCUCGUGCCAGCCACCGCGGUCAUACGAUUAACCCAAGCUAACAGGAGUACGGCGUAAAACGUGUUAAAGCACCAUACCAAAUAGGGUUAAAUUCUAACUAAGCUGUAAAAAGCCAUGAUUAAAAUAAAAAUAAAUGACGAAAGUGACCCUACAAUAGCCGACGCACUAUAGCUAAGACCCAAACUGGGAUUAGAUACCCCACUAUGCUUAGCCCUAAACACAGAUAAUUA
rnacentral:rRNA from 1 species